GGGUGAUUCAGAUAUCCGAUGGCCGGUUGAGGAGGUGCCUAUCUCGGCGUUCGUGACAAGUAGCAUGACCACUUUUUUACUUUCUUCUUAGGUGGAAGUCGGCUACGGCUGAGAUACAGAGACCUGCUAAAGAAACGGAAGACUGAGGCAGAGGAAAAGGCAACCAACAAGGCACAAAGCAUUAAAAUAUCAAGAAAGAGGACCAGCGGUACCCCAGGAAGGCAAGGUUGACCAAGAAAAGAGCAGACCAAAUUAGAGGAGUAGGCCAUACCAGAAGAUCUCAGUCUGGUUCAGGAAACAGA